GAUGAACGCUGGCGGUCUGCUUAACACAUGCAAGUCGAACGGAAGUAGCAAUACCUUAGUGGCGGACGGGUGAGUAACACGUAAGAAUCUGCCUCCAGGACGGGAAAAACAGUUGGAAACGACUGCUAAUUCCGGAUGAGCCGAAAGGUAAAAAGAAAUUCGCCUGGAGAUGAGCUUGCGGCUGAUUAGCUAGUUGGUAGGGUAAGAGCCUACCAAGGCGACGAUCAGUAGCUGGUCUGAGAGGAUGAGUAGCCACACUGGGACUGAGACACGGCCCAGACUCCUACGGGAGGCAGCAGUGGGGAAUUUUCCGCAAUGGGCGAAAGCCUGACGGAGCAAGACCGCGUGGGGGAGGAAGGUUCUUGGAUUGUCAACCCCUUUUCUCAAGGAAGAAGAUCUGACGGUACUUGAGGAAUCAGCAUCGGCUAACUCCGUGCCAGCAGCCGCCGUAAUAC
rnacentral:rRNA from 1 species